rnacentral:rRNA from 1 species
CCAAUUGAUUGACGGUGCUUGCAUCUGAUUGAUUUCGGUUGCCAACGAGUGGCGGACGGGUGAGUAACACGUAGGUAACCUGCCCAGAAGUGGGGGACAACAUUUGGAAACAGAUGCUAAUACCGCAUAACAGCGUUGUUCGCAUGAACAACGCUUAAAAGAUGGCUUCUCGCUAUCACUUCUGGAUGGACCUGCGGUGCAUUAGCUUGUUGGUGGGGUAACGGCCUACCAAGGCGAUGAUGCAUAGCCGAGUUGAGAGACUGAUCAGCCACAAUGGGACUGAGACACGGCCCAUACUCCUACGGGAGGCAGCAGUAGGGAAUCUUCCACAAUGGGCGCAAGCCUGAUGGAGCAACACCGCGUGAGUGAAGAAGGGUUUCGGCUCGUAAAGCUCUGUUGUUAAAGAAGAACACGUAUGAGAGUAACUGUUCAUACGUUGACGGUAUUUAACCAGAAAGUCACGGCUAACUACGUGCCAGCAGCCGCGGUAAUACGUAGGUGGCAAGCGUUAUCCGGAUUUAUUGGGCGUAAAGAGAGUGCAGGCGGUUUUCUAAGUCUGAUGUGAAAGCCUUCGGCUUAACCGGAGAAGUGCAUCGGAAACUGGAUAACUUGAGUGCAGAAGAGGGUAGUGGAACUCCAUGUGUAGCGGUGGAAUGCGUAGAUAUAUGGAAGAACACCAGUGGCGAAGGCGGCUACCUGGUCUGCAACUGACGCUGAGACUCGAAAGCAUGGGUAGCGAACAGGAUUAGAUACCCUGGUAGUCCAUGCCGUAAACGAUGAGUGCUAGGUGUUGGAGGGUUUCCGCCCUUCAGUGCCGGAGCUAACGCAUUAAGCACUC